rnacentral:rRNA from 1 species
UCCGUAGGCGGUGCGGCAAGUCGGAAGUGAAAUCUCUGGGCUUAACCCAGAGGCUGCUUCCGAAACUGCCGUGCUAGAGUGCGAGAGAGGCGAGUGGAAUUGCGGGUGUAGCGGUGAAAUGCGUAGAUAUCCGCAGGAACAUCCGAGGCGAAAGCGGCUCGCUGGAUCGCAACUGACGCUGAGGGACGAAAGCUAGGGGAGCAAACAGGAUUAGAUACCCUGGUAGUCCUAGCCCUAAACCAUCAGGACUUGGGUUUUGCCCUGUACGGGGCAAGUCCCGUAGCUAACGCGUUAAGUCCUGCGCCUGGGGAGUACGGUCGCAAGGCUGAA